rnacentral:tRNA from 1 species
GCCCGGAUAGCCCAACAGCAGAGGCACGGCGUCGAGAGCGCCGCCAGUGCGGGUGCGAGUCCCGCUCCGGGCACCA